rnacentral:rRNA from 1 species
AAGCGUGCGCAGGCGGUUUUGUAAGACUGUCGUGAAAUCCCCGGGCUCAACCUGGGAAUGGCGAUGGUGACUGCAAGGCUAGAGUUUGGCAGAGGGGGGUAGAAUUCCACGUGUAGCAGUGAAAUGCGUAGAUAUGUGGAGGAACACCGAUAGGCGAAGGCAGCCCCCUGGGUCAAAACUGACGCUCAUGCACGAAAGCGUGGGGAGCAAACAGGAUUAGAUACCCCAGU